GUUGGCUGCUGUGCAGACAAGGGAGAGUUAGUGCCUGGAGGAGCUGCCUACAAGAAGCAUCAAGAAGGACUACACACACCCUUUGCACUUGGACGUGAAGCCUUCAGCCCAUAGGAAACACAAUGAGCAGAAUACAGAAUGCACAUCCCUGAGGACACUGGAUGACAUCAGGCUUUCGCUUAGUCCAUUGGUGGCAGCAAAUACUCCCAAGGCAUCUCAGAAAAGCAUGUAAUUAGAGUGGCUUCUAGAAAAAACAGAAAUAUCUGGGCUGUAAUGGUGGAGCUGCUGACUGAUUUGCUCUGUGGCUUAUAAAUUUGUUAACAACAAAUAAAAGAGAACAUGCAAUGGAAAAUGCAUUUAUAUAAAUAAACAUGGAAAAUGCAAAAGAAUGCUAUAAUCAAGAAAAGCUUUGAAAGAAGGACAAAUGUUACUCACUCAAAGAAUGUUCUUUGCUGGUAGUUUGUUAGAUGUCUUCAUAAUCACUUUGGAAAAUAGAGCUUUCUUAUCAAAGCCAUUUGAAUUCUAUGUAUUACAAGUGUUCUGUGUCCCAAAUUUUGCUGUAUAAAAUCAAGACAAAACUUAGGCCUAAGAUCCUCAUUCAUAUAGCAAGAUCACAGUAUCACUGGAAUCAGACCUACAUGAACUGAAAUGAACCAUUCACCUCCAGGCUGAGAUGAGGUUUUAAAAAGGAGUUUUUCCCUCCAUUUUCUGGACAUCAUGGUAACACCCUAGCAAUCUUGCCCAGUCAAGUGAGUCCACAGACACUGGCUUUCACAGGAAGCACAGAAGUCAGAAGGUCAGCCAAUCCACUCCCUACCUCAGACCAGGUUGCCUAUGCUGAGCAAACAUCAUGACAGAGGUUACAGAACCAUUGAAUCAUAGAAUAUCUCAAGCUGGAAGGAACCCACAAGAUUACUGAGUACAACUCCUUGCUCCUUGCAGGAGCAAUCUCAUUUUUAAAAGUCAGGGAUUCAUUUCCCUAGGCCAUCAGUCACAGUCUGCACAAUAAUUGCAGUAGGUUGGGUUUUGUUUGCUGGCUCACCUUUGCCCUGGAACUACUUGAAUUUAAUUUUUUUGUUACUGUAAUUCACUGUUGCUUGGGGAUUAUCCCUGGCUGUGUGCUUUAGAAUUAAGCUAAAAAACCGAGAGAUCAGGAUAGGAAGGAGGGAAAUAAAGGGCAAGAUUUGCUGUAACAUAUAAUUUUAUAAAGAAUAUAAAGAAAGACUUUGGUCUUCAGAAACUGUAUUAUCAAUAUUAUAAAUGUGGUUCAAAAAUAGAAGACUUGAAAAUGUAAUUAAUAGAAGCAGGAAGAUUAAUGUCUGUUACCUGGUGAGAGUGGAACGGUGAAAUGAGCUCUUAGCUGCUAAUGGAGAAGAGAGGGUUAUGUAGCUCAGGACAGAAAUAUUGUAAAUAUGCAAGUCUGUGUUUUCACUAAUAGCACAGGGAGGUGCUGCUGAAGGCCUGCUGCAACCUCAUCCAAAUCAUCCUACAAAAAUAUCAGUCUCUAAGUGCAGGAAGUGCAAGAGAUGA